GUCAGUAAAAUCAUAAAACCUGCAUACGAUGGGUGUGUGCAACCAAGUCAGUUAAAGCUGUUUCUUCAAAGAGAACUUCAAGUUGCUUAAUAAGGCUGUCCAAUAUCCACAGGAAAAUAGCUUCCCGAGGAAUGGGAAGCUGCAUGUUCAUAGUUUAUUACGAUUUUUCUAAAGAAACGGAAUCCAUUGUGAAGACAAUUGUAGUCUUUGGUUUUUAUUUUAAUUUUUUGUUUUUAUUUUGAAGUAUAAUUGACCUAUAGCAUUAUGUAGUUUCAGAUGUACAACAUAAUGAUUCGAUGUUUAUAUUACUGCAAAAUGACCACAAUAAGUCCAGUUAACAUCUGUCCCCAUAGGUAGGAAUAAAUUUUUUUUUUUUUCUUGAGAACUGCCCAGAUCCACGCACCUGGCUGCUUUUAAAUAUGCAAUUCAGCAUUGUUAAUGAUAGUUACCACGCUGUCCAUCACAUCCCCAUGAUUUAGUCAUUUUAUAAUUGGAAAUUUGUACCUUUUGGUCCCCUUCACCCAUUGCCCCCACCCCACCCUGGUGUUUAAAUGAUGAGCCGUGUAAGAGGGACACGCGUGGGGCAGUGACGAAGCGAGAAAUGGGGACGGCCUUCCUCUCAUGCGGGCAGCAUGUGGAUCCUGCGGGGCGCACAGACAGGUGUACACAGGUGUACAGUGGACCCGCCACUUCAGCAGGGAUUCGAGUUCAGUCCAGUGAGGACCCCGGAAAGCUAGGUAGGCACCCAGAUGGAUGUGGGGAAGGCCAGGUGAGGACCCCUUCAGGUAGCUAUGAACCGCGACGGUUUCUGUGAGGAGGUGGGUGCCGCGGGGGGCCGCAGACUUCAGGACGGGGUCUACUUCACGGAGUCAUUCCGUGACCAGGUCCGUUUGAAUCACAAUUGUGAUAUCUGUCUGCAGGAGGGUAAGCCCCCCAGGCGAUCCUGCUGUGCAGCCAGCUUUGAGGGUCUCUGUGUUGGAGGCCACAGGGCUGGAAGUCAGUUUCUACAGCAGCAUAGAACUGGGAAUGGGACCUGUGGACAGCUAAGAGCUACCCCACGGGCUUCGGAGUCCACAGGCCCCUUUGGGUAGAGAUGGUCCGUGAAAAUUAGUGAAAAACACUGGCUACCAUUUGUGGACCCUCCACUGGGUGCUUUGCAAACACAAUAAUCUUCCUCACCCUAACGGCAAGGUAAGUGUUUUCACCUGUUUACAUUUGUGGCCACUGAAGCUCAUAUUGGUAAAGAUGGGGCUCCAGGCACCCGAGCUACUUAAGAGGCUGAACGAGACCCCAAACAUGGGAUUGCCUGACUCCAAGGCUGGUGCUCUUCGCCCUGCCAUGGGGCCCCCAGCCACUAGUGACUACCUGGGUGGGCCUCUCUUUCCAAGCUUUUUCCCAGGCCAGGGGCCCUCGCCCUGCGCUAGGUAGGGGCCUGGCCCACUCACCCCUAAGGGGAGGUGGACCUGGACUCUUGUCAGGGUGAGCAGGGGCUGGAAGCUGAGCCCUGGGCGUCGGUGCUCACAAAGGCAUGCCCGGGGGCUCCCAUGUAGGUGCUGGUUCUCUCUGGGCCGUGAGAGUCAUUCAAGGAAUGUUUACUGAACUCGGGUGCUGCUGUGGGGUGCGAGAGAAACCGGUCCUUCCCCCAAGGUGCUGGCAGUCCACUCGGGAGCCACACAGAGGAGGACAUGCUGUUCCUGGGAGUGAAUGACAAAUCCGGUCUUAGCGGCUCAGGGAAGAAAGGAACAGAAUUGUGGGUGAGUGAAGAUGGAGGAGGAAGAUUCCAGGUGGAGAGUGACACACAGGGAGAGCUGCUGGCAGGGGCUGGGGGGCGGGGUCCGCCUUGGAUUCCCACUCUGUUGAGUAAUUUUGCAACAUUCUAAGAGCCCUGGGAAACCACUGAGGACCAGAUUGGUUCCUUCUUUUGCUUUCCUUUUAUGCAUAUUUGUAUAUUUUCUUAUGAGCGUGUAUGUUUUCACACUCAAAGAAAGCUUUUUAUUAAACAGUUAUAAUCUUUCUAUUUUGGAAUAGUUUAACCAUGUUGUACUGCCUAUGAAAAAUUGUUUAUUAAAAAGUGCCAAGAGUAGGUCGGGGUCAGAGAAAACAAAAGUAGCUAUGAAACAGGCAUUGUUGAAGCUGGGUACAGAAUGGUUCAUUGCAGUCAUCUUUAAAAAGCCUUGGUGUUCUCCAGUUUAAAAUGGGCAAGGAUUUUAGGGGAAUGGUGCACUCUGCAAACAUACUGUUUGAAAUAGUCCAAAAUGAAUAUAAACACCCCUUUCUUCACUAUCCUUUAAUGUAAACCACGGUUCUCACCUGUCAGCGACCCACUGAUGGAUACCUUGAUAAACUGAUUGGCUUUUACAGGCACAAGUAAUAGAUCUUCCCCUCACUUAAUCCAAAGUAGUAAUCCUGUUUGCUUAUGCACAUAAAUCAGAAGGCAAUUUGAAUCACGAAGGCCAUUUGAGUCACGUCGGAAGCAUUUCUGAGUUUGAAUUAAGAUGAACGUGACUCACACUACAUGAUUCACAAGGUGGGGGACGAAUUCUGAUGAUGGAGUUUGGAAAUGAAAAGCUGCCUGUCUCAGGGUGCUGGCGACCACGGUUCUGCUUCCUGUUUCUGUCAAUGUGGCUGCUCUCGGCACCUCAUGGACAGAAUCCAACACUCAACACCCCAAACCCUGCGCUCUGAAAAACAUGUAUUCAACCUGAAUUCUGAAAACCAUUACUCAGUUGCAUGGUAAAGGAGGAAGAUGGCC